AUUUCUUAGAAAACAGCACUUGCGCACUGUAUAAACCCAUUUUCGCUCCUAGCCUCCCAUGGACAAAUUCAUCAAAGAAAGAGGUUUGGAACUUUGAAACUCAGAUCAAGCCUGCACAAAAGGUAUUUAGGGAUUACGAAGCGCUAAAAAAUGUUUCUUUAAAUGUUAUAACCGCCAUAAAUUUUAAAGUAGCAGAAAGAAUGCUGCAGUGAUGAUGAAAUGACGAAAAAUGACGAGAAAGAAGCAAAAAUUAGAUACCGGAGGGUACAGUGAAUCAGACAAAGAUUACCAAAAGAGUGAAAAUGAGAGCGACGUUGACGAUGACUUUGAAAGCGAUGUAGAUAACGACGACAAACCGAGGGGCACUAACAAUGGUGGUGGCAGAGAGUAACGAAAGGACAAAAAAUACGUUAUAUAACAAAGAGCGAUGGGAAACAAUAAAGAGAGCGAGACUAUGAGGGGAGGAGAAGGAAGGAUGAAUGCAGAAAUCUCGUGGAAAUCAUUACGAUACUUCAACUCAAGUCAUUUAAGCUUGCAAAGAGUUGUCAUCAUUUUUGCUUCCAGUUCGCACAUCUAAACUAAUCUCCAAAGCUAAAUUUUGAAUCAAAAUCUGUUCCUACCUAGUAUUGCUAUAUUUAUCUGAACUGUUGUUUGUCUGUGUAGAUCAACUUUGGAUGCACGGUAACAUCGUGUAAUAUAUGUCGGCUAUAUAAAUUCAGUACCUACCCAUCUACCUCACGACCUAAAUAGCUACUGAUCAAUAUUUUACCCAUAAGAGGCAAUCUCUAUAGAUACUAGAGGUUUUCCUCUUUUGUCUUUGCUCGAAGAGGCAACGCAGCGAACAAAGCAUCGGAGACGCAAUAUGUAAAUACCAAUAGAGAAAAAACUAUCUUGCGUGCGCGCAUGCUCGGGUUCAUUCGAGUUUCGCGUCAUGAUACCUCUGCAGCUCUACCGCUCAGCUCUAGGGAAGAGUCAAUAUCAAUUCAUAUAAACCUAUUUUCGUUCCCAGCCUCCCAUGCGCAAAUUCAUUGAGGAAAGAGGUUUAGUUACUUCAGAGGUCUACUAUUGUUUCUGGUAAUGCUCCUGUAACCCAAUGUCGCGAUAGGAUUUAGAAGGUCCAAUGUAUAUAUUUCAUUCAUAUAUAUUUCGCAUUAUGUUCCUUUUCUACGUUACUCUGAGAUAUAAUUUAGAACUUUGAAACCCAGGUUAAGCCUGCCGCAAAAGAUAUUUGUGGAUUGAGAGCGCUAAAAAAUUUCCUUACGAAAUUGACCACUUUCAUAAACGGCUGCCGGAUUAAUAUUCUUUUUGUUUAAAUUUAAAUUAGCCUUUCUGACCUCGCUUGAGAUAAUGUAUUCUAUUGAAUUGUGUACUGGACAACGAGGCCAGAAAGGCUCAUUUAAAUUUAA